rnacentral:rRNA from 1 species
UACGUAGGGAGCAAGCGUUGUUCGGAUUUACUGGGCGUAAAGGGCGCGUAGGCGGCAAAUUAAGUCAGCUGUGAAAUCUCCGAGCUUAACUCGGAACGGUCAGCUGAUACUGAUCUGCUAGAGUGCGGAAGGGACAAUCGGAAUUCUUGGUGUAGCGGUGAAAUGCGUAGAUAUCAAGAGGAACACCUGAGGUGAAGACGGGUUGCUGGGCCGACACUGACGCUGAGUGCGCGAAAGCGUGGGGAGCAAACAGG